UGCUUUAUUUUAAAAAUUGCAUGAAAUAUAUGGUUCCAUCUUUUCAAUUUGUAUUUCAGUGAUGGAGCAGGACGUACAGGAACAUACAUUGCCAUUUCAAACCUUCUUGAACGAAUGAAAAUUGAACAAGCAAUGGAUGUCUUCCAAGCCAUAAAAAUCAUUAGAGGAACACGACCACAAUUUGUCGAAAAUGCCGUAAGUACAUGCAUAAAAUACAAUAUCGUAAUACCGUCGGUUAUAAAUUGCAACAAUCGCAGCUAAAAACAACCUCGAACCCAGGCUCUCAUUCUGCGCUCCUCUUUAUGUACUCAUUCUCUGAAGUGUGCAUUAUUGAAAAAUUGUUAAAAGCUAAGCCUAUAAUUAAUAUAUUUGCUGAUGAAGACCAGGUUGUGCAUGAAUUAAGAUCUAGUCUUGAUGAAAAUCCAGGUAUCAACAGUUUUGCCAAACAUGUUGUGUAAGUGUUUCACAAAACGAAAAAUUUUUAUCCUUAGAUCCAGCCGACGCUAUGUAAACUUGAAUAAUAACAAAACUGAAUUAUUUUUUUCUUUAGGAACAAUAUCAGUUCUGUUACACUGCCAUAAUGACGUACCUUAAUGCUUUCAGCGAAUACGCAAACUUUGAAUAAAUAUAAUAUGACUGAAUAUAUCCAAAUAUCGGUCAACUUUGUGCAAUACUAAAAGUCACAAGAUGAAAUUAGUUUGGUUGGAUACGCUGCCGGAAAGCGGAAACCAGUCAGAUGCCAAAUACCUUCCAUAUCGCUUUUAUAUGAUGAAGUGAAAUAAUCUAUUAUAUAGAUGAAGUGAAACAAUCUAUUUCAAAUAUGUAAAUUUUCUUCAAUUGUCACGAAAUGCAAUUUCGGCAAUGCAAUGACGUCAAUGUAAAAUAGUUCAUUGCAAACGUUUUAUGAAAUUCACAGUUGUAGUACUGAAUAAAAACUAAAUAAUUCACAACAAUAUAAUUGUAAUCAGGGCCUUUCAGAGGGGGGAGGGCACUGGGGGGCAAUUUGCUCCGGGCCCCCAGUUUAAGGGGGCCCCCAAAUUUGCAAAAUUAAAAAAAAUAAUUUCGACCGUUUUUUUAAUGUCCGGAAAAAAAUUUUCUUCCCCCUCUCCCCCCGCUCGCCAACAUAUUCGGGAAAAAUAGGGGCCCCGGAACAAAAAUUUGCCCCGGGCCCCCGAAUUUCUCUGAUAGGCACUGAUUGUAAUUAUCACCAUAAACGUAUUAAAAAUGUAGAAGGUUGUAUAGAAUUAAGCUCUUAACUUAAGUGAUGCCCUCCUAUUGUAUGCAAUAUUUUUACAAUUCUCAAAACUAUUUAAUAGUUAACAUAUUUUUCAACGAUAUUGUAUAAUUGAAUGUUUGUAAUAAAUGUAAUUUGCCAUUCAUUUUAAUAAAUAUUUUUGAAUUUCUAAAAGUCAG